rnacentral:rRNA from 1 species
UGGGGAAUAUUGGGCAAUGGGCGAAAGCCUGACCCAGCAACGCCGCGUGAAGGAAGAAGGUCUUCGGAUUGUAAACUUCUUUUAUGAGGGACGAAGGAAGUGACGGUACCUCAUGAAUAAGCCACGGCUAACUACGUGCCAGCAGCCGCGGUAAUACGUAGGUGGCAAGCGUUGUCCGGAUUUACUGGGUGUAAAGGGCGCGUAGGCGGGAUGGCAAGUCAGAUGUGAAAUCCAUGGGCUCAACCCAUGAACUGCAUUUGAAACUGUCGUUCUUGAGUAUCGGAGAGGCAAGCGGAAUUCCUAGUGUAGCGGUGAAAUGCGUAGAUAUUAGGAGGAACACCAGUGGCGAAGGCGGCUUGCUGGACGACAACUGACGCUGAGGCGCGAAAGCGUGGGGAGCAAACAGG